UCUGGAUGUCGUCACGGGAUCCCGGGACGGACCGACUGCUCCCACAGUGAAGACGUUGGGAUUCGCUGCAGAGGGAGGGCCCCUCUCUGGGGCAGAACAUCCAGGGCUGCAGACGCAGGGGUGAAGUGUGACGCUAAACCCCACAAGGUGGCAGUGAAGACCAAGCCUGAGGAGCUGAGCUGUGGGUUAAGGAAGAUGGUGGAGGGCCAGAGGAGGAGCCAUGAAGAGGAAAGCACGAUUUGCAAUCAAAUACGGAAAAACUGGCAGUUUGCUCUUCCCCCUGGACUACGUGGUCUUGACAGGUGUCAGCGGGGCUUCAGUCUCAGAGGGAGGGCGAGGGGCCCCUCUGCAGCGGCAUGCUGAUCAGCCCCUGCUGGGCGCUGACAUCUGCGUUCUGCCUCGGCGGGUAAAUCCCACACUUCCUUCUGUAUCAGUUAUGGGAAAAAGCUGCUCACUCAGACUCAGCUCCUUAUUUAUUUAUUUUUAACCCUAACCUCGUCCUGCAGGUUUGGCAGCGAUCCCACCAUCCAUGUGGUGAGUCGGGGUGUCGGAGCAAACGCUGACACCCGAGCAGCUGGUGCUUGACAGGAAGUUCAAGGGGCAGAGCGGCGAUCACGACCUGAUAUUGCUGAAGCUGCCCAGCACCAAGGGUCUGACCUUUGACCCCAACACCAACGCAGCCUGUCUUCCCGGUACUGAUGGGGCAGAAGGGAACCUACCUGCUUAUUGUGUUGUCAUGGUUACACUGGAUGGGCAGGACCAGUGCCUUCAGACAACCAAAGCUGUGAACUGACUCUAAAUAAAGUGGUGGGUUAAAAAGAAGGAAAGGGGAAAAGGGAGAGGAAGAGGAA